AUUGAACGCUGGCGGCAUGCCUUACACAUGCCAGUCGAACGGCAGCACGGGAGCAAUCCUGGUGGCGAGUGGCGAACGGGUGAGUAAUAUAUCGGAACGUGCCCAGUCGUGGGGGAUAACGUAGCGAAAGCUACGCUAAUACCGCAUACGAUCUAUGGAUGAAAGCGGGGGAUCGCAAGACUUCGCGCGAUUGGAGCGGCCGAUAUCAGAUUAGGUAGUUGGUGGGGUAAAGGCUCACCAAGCCGACGAUCUGUAGCUGGUCUGAGAGGACGACCAGCCACACUGGGACUGAGACACGGCCCAGACUCCUACGGGAGGCAGCAGUGGGGAAUUUUGGACAAUGGGCGCAAGCCUGAUCCAGCAAUGCCGCGUGCAGGAUGAAGGCCUUCGGGUUGUAAACUGCUUUUGUACGGAGCGAAAAGGCUUCCACUAAUACUGGGGGCUCAUGACGGUACCGUAAGAAUAAGCACCGGCUAACUACGUGCCAGCAGCCGCCGCCGUAA
rnacentral:rRNA from 1 species